AUUGAACGCUGGCGGCAUGCCUAACACAUGCAAGUCGAACGGCAGCACGACCUAGCUUGCUAGGUUGGUGGCGAGUGGCGCACGGGUGAGUAAUGCGUAGGAAUAUACCUUAAAGUGAGGGACAACCUGGGGAAACUCAGGCUAAUACCGCAUGAGCCCUAAGGAGGAAAGCUGGGGAGCUUUCGGGGCCUGGCGCUGUAAGAAUAGGUUACGUCCGAUUAGUUAGUUGGUGGGGUAAAGGCUUACCAAGACGAUGAUCGGUAGCUGGUCUGAGAGGAUGAUCAGCCACACUGGGACUGAGACACGGCCCAGACUCCUACGGGAGGCAGCAGUGGGGAAUAUUGGACAAUGGGGGAAACCCUGAUCCAGCGAUGCCGCGUGUGUGAAGAAGGCCUGCGGGUUGUAAAGCACUUUCGGUGGGGAGGAGGACUUAUAGGUUAAGAGCUAAUGAGUUGGACGUUACCCACAUAAGAAGCACCGGCUAACUCCGUGCCAGCCGCCGCGGUAA
rnacentral:rRNA from 1 species